AGCAUAUUACUAUUAAUUAAGAACAAAACCAACCAUCAAACCUUUUAUAGAUUUUGAUACUUGAUUCUUCUGUCAAAAUAUACUAACUACCAGGCGGAGCCCCUCCAUCCUCCUGAACGUUCACCAGCUCAUAUUCAACUAAAGACAGAUUGUUAUCCUCCUUGACUACAAAAUUUGCAGGUUCAGUAACCUCAAUACGGCCCCAUUUAUCAACUGCUAGCCUCAUAGAUCCUUUGAACAUGUCAAUCCUUGCAUUGCGGAGAAUAACAGUUGUACCAGGCUUCAACAAGUCAACUGAGCAAACAACAUAGAAAUAAAAGAUAUAGUAAAGUAGAAUAAUCAUCUUAGUAAAACACAUAAAUCAAAAAACUGUGAAGCUACAGUUGGUUGUAUAAUACCUUCCAAGCAAAAUUUUGUAAUAAACAUAACUAGAAUACUUAUACAUGUUGGCAUCAUAAUCUUAUAAGAGAACUUGAAUAGGAGUGAAAUUCAUUUCCAUAGCCAUUUUCAACAGACAAAGCAAAACCUUAUGAACAUUAAUACAUUGGUUUCAAGAAACAACGUUAGGCGGAUUAAUCAUAGCAUCAAUAUAAGCUUACAUUGAGGCAGAUUGUUCAAAAGUUAAAACAUAAUGUUACAUCAAGAUGAUCAAAUGUCAGACUCUAACUCAACAGGAGCUACCUAUGUGAAGUGCAACAGAAGAAUUGCUCAACUAGACUUAAAGCCAAAUUUCCUCGACUAUCCUGAUAAAGUUGAGCAACUUAUGUAAGCCAAUAUAUUGCUCAUUUUCUGUAGUAAAGAGUUCUACUCAAAUCAUGUCCUAAGAUCCAAAAAUAUCACAUCUAUAUCAUCCUCAAUAGACUAAACAUUCUACAGAGGUCCCAUCCCAAACAAGCACUUAUUAGAUGCCAGACCAUUGUAAUAUUUUUCAUAUUACAAAGUACUAUUAACUAAAUUUCACAAGUUUUGGAUGAAGUAUUAGUACUUAAUUCCUAUCAUCUAGCUGCAAACUCAAUCCAAACUUGACUCUGCCAGCCUUUUAAAGAAAGGCUUCAAUGCCCCAAUUCUUCCUAUUUUUUCUUCUAAAUUUUAUACUUGCAACACGCUGCUUAUUGUACCAAUAUAUAUCAAGUCCGCCAUAAUAUCUAUUGAUCAUAAAGCUAUUUCUUUCAUUUCAGAUUUCUUUGCAUAGUUAAAAGAUUUAACAAAAACACCGCAAACAGAUAGUAAAAUAGUUAUAUAUUUAUAUAAAAGAGAUAGUACUAAUAACGAAAAAGAUGUCUUGAUUAAUCCAAGUAUUGGAGACAAUGGCACUCAACAGCACCAAGCCUACUACAAACAGAGUUUAAACAACAGAAAACUAUACAAAUCACAAAGCUUGUGGUUCCAAUCAAUCUCUUAAGAACUUCACCAAAUACCAGCAAAAAGAAUAAGUAAUGUGUAACUUUUGACUUUUCUUUGAUAAAACCAAAGAUCUCUUAAUGGCAUAACUAAUAAGCAGAUUUUUACCAGUGGCAUAGACAUUUGUUCCAGGUUUUUUUGCGGCCAAGAUCAACAAAUUUACUGCAUUGUCUCAAUAUUUUGAAAAGGCAAACAGAGAGAAAAUACAUAACAAAAUGUCCAUUUCAGAAACGAGACCUUAUUUAGAUGGCUAAAUCAAGCCAAAAAAACUGGAAGAAGACCAAAACAAAAAAUUUACUAAACGUGCAGUGAAUACAAUGCCCACAAGCCUACUAAAACCAUUGUCUCUAAUUCAUUUGAGUUUCCCUUUCUCGUUUGAAUCCUAUCCAUUUUGUCAGCAACCAACACAAAUACAAACAAAUCAGUAAAAGAUAAACAUAAUACACAUGGAUUUAUUAUUAAACCAAAUGGCCAAAUAAAGUCAAUUUAUCACAAUCCAAACACAAAAAAUCCCAUCAUUUCCUCGAUUUUCCAGGCAACCAAACAAACAGGAAAAUAAGAAAAGCCAAUACCUUGAUCAUUCCUAGCAGUGAAGAGAAUAGUCCCAGUCUCGUCCCCAAUGAGGCACUCAGAGAUUCGGGUCUGGCGGAGGUGCUGAGAGACCGAUCGGCCCUUUUGCAAGACAGGGUUGGAGGUGAGGACCUUAGCGACGAGGGUGUGUCCACUGGUCUCCGGCUUGAGGAGCUCGACCUUGGUGAAGACGGGCUUCCUGAGACCUGGCUUGGCAUUGCUCUGCUGGGGUUGCUGAGACGGUGCCGUUUUGUUGGUGACCGU
rnacentral:lncRNA from 1 species